rnacentral:tRNA from 1 species
GAGGGUAUAACCCAGUGGUAGAAUGUGUGCUUAGCAUGCACAAGGUCCUAGGUUCGACCCCCACUACCUCCA